rnacentral:rRNA from 1 species
UACGUAGGGGGCAAGCGUUGUCCGGAUUUAUUGGGCGUAAAGAGCGUGUAGGCGGCUAGUUAGGUCCGUUGUGAAAACUCGAGGCUCAACCUCGAGACGUCGAUGGAAACCAUCUGGCUAGAGUCCGGAAGAGGAGAGUGGAAUUCCUGGUGUAGCGGUGAAAUGCGCAGAUAUCAGGAAGAACACCCGUGGCGAAGGCGGCUCGCUGGUACGUGACUGACGCUGAGACGCGAAAGCGUGGGGAGCAAACAGG